rnacentral:lncRNA from 1 species
AUUUUUUACUUCUACCUUCUAAAUGAUAGUUUUAGUAUCUGAUCUAUUACAAAUAUAGGACAGAACUUAACUGAAAAGAAAGUACAGAGAAUAAAAGAAAAAUAGCAUGAAAGAAUAAACAUAACAUUUAAUAAGAACCUGUCAAAGUUGAUGAAGUAUUGAUGCCUUUGAUGCCAAAAGACAAGACUGAGCUGGUCACAAGAUGACUGCAUAUCUUCACAGCCAUAAAGAUGAUAAAACCCAUGCUCUAGGAUUUUUAUAUUUGCAGGAGAUGCAUAACGUCUGUGCAUCAGUUGUACAAACAAAUAAACCGGUUUAAACCAUUUUCACUUGCUUAU